GCAUAGUGAUUCAGUUGUGUGUGUAUGUAUAUGUGUGUGUGUAUAUAUAUAUAUAUAUAUAUUCCUUUUCAUAUUCUUUUCAU
rnacentral:miRNA from 1 species